rnacentral:lncRNA from 1 species
GUUUAUAUAUAUUGGGGGAGUUACAGACAAAGCAUUGAAUUUGAGGUUUUUGAAUUCUGGUGAUUAGGGUUACAAAGCCAUGUGAGAUUUGGGGGAAAAGAGGAGGAUUUGUCUAGGGUUUAGACUUUUUUAGAGUUGUUAGUUAGAUUGUAGGAAUUGCUGAGAGCCACAAGAAUGAGAAAGAUGGGAUAUGGUGAAUCUUUUUCAUGGUGGAGGAUGAUGCAUUGAUGGAAUUGGGAUGCAAUAUCCAUAAAUGAGUGGGGAAAUUUGGCAGGUCCAAGACAGGGCAAGUUCAGGCCCAGCAUGCCGGUGGAGGCUACCAAACAGGUAGAAUGUGUGGCUCAAACCACCAAAGUCGAAACGGUACACUCGUUUUUGUACACUCGAGAUACCAACAUGUGGCCACACCCUAGCUGGAAGUUGCUAUGAUGUUUUAGGGUAGGAAAUAUUCACUAUAACAUAAUCAUUCUUGUGAUUUUGAGGUGGCUGCACCGGUGUGUUUUGCUUAUAUUAGUAACGUAGUUGUAACACCGGGUUAAUGUUAGAGAGACGAGGACUCUAAAAAUGUGUUGUUAGUAAGAACUCGAAAAAGGGUCUCCUUUGUUUGCAUUUGACCACCCAUAUUGCCUUUCAUUGAGACUGGUUGCUAGUAAGGUAUUAGUACAUUUAAUUUUGAAAUGAUAUUCAUUUUAUCAUUUGCUCAUGAUCAGUUGUUGAUUUUGUUAUAUUAAAGCAAGAUCUGGCCAUUCUUAUUGAAAACUCAUGGACUUCUCGUUCCUUAAAGUCGAUGUACAAGUGGUAGGUGAUUAUUAAUGUCUUCAUCAUACAGAGAUGACGACGUCUGGCCUUCUCCAACUACCAUUGAUGUACUAAAAAAGUUUUCUUCACUUUCGCCUAUUCCGUGGAUUUAUCAAUUUUGGUUUAGCCUGUCUACCGAGUGCUCGAGAAAAAAAUGAGUGAAAGAAAAGAACUUAAUGCUCAAGUGCAACUCCUUGGAUGACUACAUUAUGAAUGAGGAAAAACAAUUACAUUUAGGUCUAUAGAAGAUGGAUAUUUGUGCUUUAAUCUAGGAGUUCAAUACCAUGUGCUAGUUUGGUCACCUUUUUAUGGUGUGAUUGAAUGUUAAAUCAUUUCAUUAUGUUAUUUGGUUUGAUAGCAGAAGGGGCCUGAUUAGGUUGGCUGUCAACUCACCUCACUACUCAUCACAAAAAUAGUGAAACUCAUGAAAUUUUAUCUUUACUUCAUCUAAUUUUUUUGCAGUCAAACCUGAAAGCUGACAUGAAAUUCUUGACCUGUAGAUUUCUGAUGAUAGUGGGAUUUAUACAACGAAGCCGAUAGACAUACUCGAGCUGCAAAGGCGAAGCCAUUGCUCGUCGUCUCGGCUAAACUCCGAAGAAGAAACAUAUUUAGGUUUGAAGUUAGCUUGGAAGCUGCAAUUAAAGAUUAUUCAACUAUUGUGAGCUAAGUUCAACUGUUGUUAUUUUUGACAAUAUGAAUAAACAUUACAAUUACAUUUCCAAAGCCAGGGGCCCGCUACAUAAGCAUAACCGCUCAUUGAUUUUGGAAUGUUGUCUCAUUUGCUACACAUUUUCCAUGGUGUGUGUUUUGCAGGCAAUCAAUGAAUGAGCAAGUGGUGGUUAAUCUGGGCUUGAUGCAAACACGACGACGACGAGCAGCGGCUUCUGGCUAGCGACUCGAGCAAAGCUCGGUGCAAGUCUCCAGCUCGGCCCUUCCGGAUGAGGCAGAUAGCAUAGUCCAUG